GACGAACGCUGGCGGCGUGCUUAACACAUGCAAGUCGAACGGAAAGGCGCUGCUUUUGUGGGGUGCUUGAGUGGCGAACGGGUGAGUAACACGUGAGUAACCUGCCCUUGACUGUGGGAUAACUUCAGGAAACUGGGGAUAAUACCGGAGAGGAGAUCCUGCUGCAUGGUGGGCGUUGGAGAGAUUCGGCGGUAUUGUAUGGACUCGCGGCUUAUCAGCUUGUUGGGGGGGUAGUGGCUGUCCAGGGCUUUGACGGGUAGCCCGCCUGAGAGGGUGACCGGCCACAUUGGGACUGAGAUAGGGCGCAGACUCCUACGGGAGGCAGCAGUGGAGAAUAUUACAGAAUGGGCGGAAGCCUGAUGCAGCAACGCCGCGUGCGGGAUGAUGGCCUUCGAGUUGUAAACCGAUUUCGCCUGUGACGAAGCGUGAGUGACGGUAAUGGGUAAAGAAGCACCGGCUAACUACGUG
rnacentral:rRNA from 1 species